UACAGAGGGUGCAAGCGUUGUUCGGAAUUACUGGGCGUAAAGCGCGUGUAGGCUGCUUCGCAAGUCGGAUGUGAAAGCCCUGGGCUCAACCCAGGAAGUGCAUUCGAAACUGCAGAGCUGGAGUCCUGGAGAGGAAGGCGGAAUUCUCGGUGUAGAGGUGAAAUUCGUAGAUAUCGAGAGGAACACCAGUGGCGAAGGCGGCCUUCUGGACAGUGACUGACGCUGAGACGCGAAAGCGUGGGGAGCAAACAGG
rnacentral:rRNA from 1 species